rnacentral:rRNA from 1 species
UACGUAGGGUGCAAGCGUUGUCCGGAAUUAUUGGGCGUAAAGAGCUUGUAGGCGGUUUGUCGCGUCUGCUGUGAAAUUUCGGGGCUCAACCCCGAACUUGCAGUGGGUACGGGCAGACUAGAGUGUGGUAGGGGAGACUGGAAUUCCUGGUGUAGCGGUGAAAUGCGCAGAUAUCAGGAGGAACACCGGUGGCGAAGGCGGAUCUCUGGGCCUUACCUGACGCUCAGGUGCGAAGCUAGGGGAGCGAACAGG